rnacentral:lncRNA from 1 species
UGGAGCUAGAACAGAUUUUGUGUCUAAAGAUGGUAAAACUCCACUGCAUUAUGCUGGUAAAUCUGGUAAAGUUGAAAUGCUUGAGUUUUGGAUUAGGAGAGGAGAUUAUGAUGUGAAUGUUAAAGAUAAAAGGAAAAGAACUCCUUUGUUUAAUGCUGUUAAGAGUGGUAGUG